UCCCUGGUGGCCUAGUGGCAAAGGCUCCUGUGCGCUCACUGCCGUGGCCUGGGUUCAAUACCCAGGCAGGGAA